rnacentral:rRNA from 1 species
UGGGGAAUUUUCCGCAAUGGGCGAAAGCCUGACGGAGCAAUACCGCGUGAGGGAGGAAUGCCUUUGGGUUGUAAACCUCUUUUCUCAGGGAAGAAGAUCUGACGGUACCUGAGGAAUAAGUAUCGGCUAACUCCGUGCCAGCAGCCGCGGUAAUACGGAGGAUGCAAGCGUUAUCCGGAAUCAUUGGGCGUAAAGCGUCCGCAGGUGGUUUCCAAAGUCUGCUGUUAAAGACUGGAGCUCAACUCCGGAACGGCGGUGGAAACUUGGAAACUAGAGUUCGGUAGGGGUAGCAGGAAUUCCAGUGUAGCGGUGAAAUGCGUAGAUAUUGGGAAGAACAUCGGUGGCGAAGGCGUGCUACUGGACCGUAACUGACACUCAGGGACGAAAGCUAGGGGAGCGAAAGGGAUUAGAUACCCCUGUAGUCCUAGCUGUAAACGAUGGAAACUAGGUGUGGCUUGA